CGGUGACGCUCUCUCACUGUACAUGGGGGCUGGAAAUAAAAAAGACCGACAUACACUCCUCCCACCAUUCAUUCAGUAAGCUACAUUGAGUUACCCUGUCGGUUUAUGUAUCACUGCCUACACGGAGACGAGGAGGCACGCUUUAUCUUCAGAUGGGACGAAAAAACACAGAGGACGGAGCAACUGAAAAUAGCUAGACCGAAGCCACUGACACCGUCCGUACUCACCCUGCUCCUUUCUCCUUUGUUUUCCAUGUAAAACUUCGUGUCUGUCAGCAUUUACGUUACCGACCACCCACCUCUCACACGUUAGCUACCUUUGACAAGGGUUGUUCCCGUUUGACUCUCGGGGGAGGCAUUUUACUGGAGAGAAAGAAAAAUAAAAGCCUCAACUUUACCGUGUGCCGCAAAGCUAACUCUGAAAUCAAAGAGAAUUGGUAGCAGACCUCGGACAGGACACUUCGUAGUCAGUGGGAUGUUAGAGCUCUGGAAGCAGGACUGACUGAAGGAGCAUGGUGAAACACCAACCCCUCCAGGUCUAUGAGCGCCAGCUGUGUUUGUCAUGUAUCACUGGGAUCUACGGUUGCCGCUGGAAACGCUAUCAGCGUUCCCAUGAUGACACCACCAAGUGGGAGCUGCUGUGGUCCCUCAUCCUCCUCUUCACUUUUUGUCUGCUGCUGGUCUGGUUUUACUUCUGGUGGGAGGCACAUAACGACUACAAUGAGUUCAACUGGUUCCUCUACAACCGCUCUGGGGAGUGGAGCGAUGGCACUGUUCCCAUCCUGGCCACCACCGCUGCUGGCUUCACCUACAUUGCAUUUUUAAUGGUUUUAGCACUUUGCCAUGUUGCACUUGGUCAACAAUUGAAUUUACACUGGCUCCAUAAGAUAGGAGUGGCUGCUGCUCUGUUCACCACCAUUGUUGGGGUGAUAUCUGUCAAUCAAACAUGGGGGCAAGAGUGGGACAUCAUCCCCAUCUCCCUGCAGGCCACAGGUCCGUUCCUGCACAUAGGGGCUCUCGCUGCGGUCACAGCGUUGUCUUGGAUUGUGGCUGGACAGGUCGCCCGCACAGAAAAAACAAUGUUUCAGGUAGUGGUCGUGCUGCUUUAUCUCAGUGCGUUACUGGGACUGUACGUGGUGCCGCUGUAUAUCACUUCCCCCUGCAUCAUGGACCCCACCACCCUCAAACAACGUCCUGAUGUCAUUGGCCACCAGGGAGCCCCCAUGCUUGCUCCAGAGAACACACUGUGGUCCUUCCAGCGAGCUCUGCAGAUGAAUGUCACUGGGUUUGAGGCUGACGUGGCUAUCAGCGUGGAUGGAGUGCCUUUUCUGAUGCACGACCGAACCCUGCGGAGGACCACUGAUGUGGAGAAGGUCUUCCCAGACAGACAAAUGGAAGACGCCUCAUUCUUCAACUGGACAGAUCUGCAACAACUCAACGCAGGACAGUGGUUCCUCAAGGAGGACCCUUUCUGGACAGUUAACAACCUGUCCCCACGUGAGAAGGAUCUAAUUGCCAACCAGACUGUGUGCAGCCUGGAGCAGCUUCUAAAGAUGGCUUUCUAUCAUAAUAGCACAAUGGUUUUCCGGCUGAGGAGGCCUCCUCCAGAGCACCCCCGCUACCACAGCUGGGUCAAUGAUACACUGCAGGCUGUGCAGCAAUCUGGGGUUCCUCAGAGUCUGGUGAUGUGGACUCCAGAUGAACACAGAGCUCAGGUAAGACAGCUGGCACCCGGUCUGAUCCAGACCUCAGUGGAGAAACGGAGUCCUCAAUUUCUCCAUCAGUACGGCAUCAGCAGGCUGCUGCUCAGAUACAACCAGGCCAGCCCUCAGGAAAUUAGAAACUUCUCCCAGAGCAACAUCAACCUCACCCUUUACACCAUCAAUGAGCCCUGGCUGUACUCGGUGCUGUGGUGCAGUGGGGUGUCUUCAGUCUCCUCGGAGGCCUCGCAUAUCCUGAAAAAGGUGCCUUAUCCCAUCUGGCUCAUGAGACCAGAUGAAUACUGCCUGAUGUGGGUGUCUGUGGACCUCAUCUCCUUUGCGGUAGUCAUAGGAAUAUUUAUCUUCCAGAACUAUCACAUGAUCAGGUAUCUGAUGAGUGGUAUGCGCAGCUACAACCCUGAACAGAUCAUGCUGAGUGCUGCAGUCGGGAGGUCGAGCCGAGACCUCAACGUCAUGAAGGAGAAACUUAUCUUCUCUGGUCCUCCCCAGUAGCGGCCUGUGUGAUGUGCACCACCUCCUGUCCAUGCUACCACCUCCUCCACCAGCAGUGACUUCUUCCUUUUAUUCCAUGCAUCCAUUGCAUCCUUCGUUACCUGCCACUUCUCUGCCUACUAUGCCCUUCUCCCCUUCAUCCAUCCAUCCAUCCAUCCAAUCCUUCAUGCACCAAGCCUCCCCUACCACCCUCCACUGGAGACACCUGUAUAGGGGGUCUUAUAGACGCCCCAGUGUGUCUAGACAGCCUCUAGUGCUGGGGGUCAAAGAGGUGGGGAAUGGAGUCGGCAGUGCUGAUGAGCUGUACACGGACAAUGGCUACGACUACUACACCAAUCAGGGCAUUAGCCAAUGAGUGGGACUGAGCCAGAGUGAAUCUGCUGGAGCGAGAUGUAGACAACAACGCUCUGUGACCACAUUAUUCCUGUUCUAGUCUUUGUAAUGUCUGAUCUCCCAUUCUGUCCUAGUGAAUAACCGACAGACUGCUGAAUCAGAUGGAGAAAAACGACCACCCAGUUGCUUUGUGUACAUUCUGUAAAUAGUUUUGUUUGCUAUUUAGACAUACUGUUUAUCACCCAGGACUGCACGCACUUUUUAUUAAUGGAUUUUGCCAAAUCUGUGGACUCCUCUCACAUCUGAUAGCCCGAGACGCCCCUUUGAGUUACAAAGGCCUGCUUUUUUUAAAUGUUUCCAGAUUCUUUAUUAUUUUAAGCUUAUUUUCCAAAGCAGUUCCUUGUUUUUAAACACUGUACAUGAUAUUCUUCUCUUCUCAUAGAUGAAUUUCCUUUUAUGAAGAGGCUUUUUACAAUGCUUUAUUGCAGCAUGAGACUAAAUGCUAACGGCUCAUUAUGCUCUAGCCUCCCGUCAGCACUCCAUUGAGCUGUUCUUAAUAGUACUAACAUUAAUAUUUAUAUGUAAAGAGAGAAAGAAAAAAAAACAUGAACACGCCGUUUACACAAUCCUGCCUUUUCCUCCAAGUGAAAUAUUCACAAGGUGUUUGUAAGAUAAUUAUUUCAAUAAAUGCUGAAUUCCCCCCACCCCCCCUGCCCUACUUGUGACCAGUGUACAUAAUGAUCAUGUUGACUGGUAUUUGUGAGCUGUGCUCCCAGAGCACCAGAAGAACACAUGAAAACGGUUUGGGGAUGAAGAGUUGUGCUGUCUGUUAAUUGUUCAUGUGAAGGUGUUUGGACUUUAUUGUUUUUAAAAGAUGUGAACGGUGUAUUGUGUUUAUUCUGGCUGGGUAUAUUUUUUUUACCCCGUGUGCAGUGCUAUGUUGAGUGUGUUAGUGUAUAUAAAAGGUGAACCAGUGUGUGAGAUGCUCCAGCCAACUAAGCAUUACAUUU